rnacentral:rRNA from 1 species
UAGGGAAUCUUCCACAAUGGGCGCAAGCCUGAUGGAGCAACACCGCGUGAGUGAAGAAGGGUUUCGGCUCGUAAAGCUCUGUUGUUAAAGAAGAACACGUAUGAGAGUAACUGUUCAUACGUUGACGGUAUUUAACCAGAAAGUCACGGCUAACUACGUGCCAGCAGCCGCGGUAAUACGUAGGUGGCAAGCGUUAUCCGGAUUUAUUGGGCGUAAAGCGAGCGCAGGCGGUUUGAUAAGUCUGAAGUUAAAGGCUGUGGCUCAACCAUAGUUCGCUUUGGAAACUGUCAAACUUGAGUGCAGAAGGGGAGAGUGGAAUUCCAUGUGUAGCGGUGAAAUGCGUAGAUAUAUGGAGGAACACCGGUGGCGAAAGCGGCUCUCUGGUCUGUAACUGACGCUGAGGCUCGAAAGCGUGGGGAGCGAACAGGAUUAGAUACCCUGGUAGUCCACGCCGUAAACGAUGAGUGCUAGGUGUUGGAUCCUUUCCGGGAUUCAGUGCCGCAGCUAACGCAUUAAGCACUCCGCCUGGGGAGUACGACCGCAAGGUUG